rnacentral:lncRNA from 1 species
CUAGACAUGAAGAUUGAGACUGUAUCAGAGUAGCAUUCAGGAAGGUUAUUGCCAGGUUGCGUCACUUUUUAUAAGAGAACGCUCGUCCUCCUGCAGAGCUCCGCUGAAUUCUGGGAACUACUCGUAAUCCAGCACCCUGAGAUUUGAGUAAUAUUGUAUCACUGUAUCGUAUUUUCUCAUGGGACUUCAGGGCUAGCUGUUUCCUAUUGUCUCCCAUUCAUUUUUAGCCACAUUAGCAUUUCUGGACACGCUGUCCCUUUAAGAGCUCCCCAAAGUGGGAGAGAGCCUUGGUCUGACAGAGAGAGUCUGAUUGGGUUCAUAAUGAUGAUUGAAACGUUGCUCUGGAGGAGAACCGUUCUCCUGAUAAGAGUGUCCAACCUGGAGGAGAGCGGCUCUAACCUGAUUUGUUGAGUUAUUUAGAGGAGGAGCUAAUGUCCACCUCAUGCAUAAUUAAUUGUGUUCUUACAAUGAACUAAACAAAAUCUAUCUUCAUUUGAUUAGAGGCCUUCAGAGGCCCUGGAGUGCAGCAAUACACACACACACACACACACACGGACACACACACACACACACACACAUCUCUCUGCUGUAUGUGUGUGUGUGUGUGUGUGUGUGUGUGUUGACGGGGAAUGCAGACGGGUCCUUUAUUUAGGACUUUCACUGAUAAACAGAAUUCCUGCAGGAUAAUAACGACUCCAGUCGAACUGUCCCUCCGUCCCCCUGUUCAUACCUCCCACAUCAUUCUGUUAAAUGUAUCUCCAUCCACCUGUCCCUCUAUCCUCUCUACUUCUAUCCACUGUCCCUCUCUCUGUCCCCAACUCUCUGUAACUUCAUCCCCAUGUCCCCUUCACUCCUGUCCCCCUAUCCUCUCUACUUUUAUCCACUGUCCCUCUCUUCUUCCACAAACCUCUGUCCCUUUAUCCUCUCUACUUUUGUCCAUUGUCCUUCUCCCAUCACUCCUGUCCUCCUGUUCAUUGUCCCUUCAUACCCCCAUCACCUAUCCUCUGCCCUAUGGCCCCCAUCAACCUGUUCCCCCUUAUCUGUUAUACUUUUGUCCAUUGUCCCUCUCUCCUGCCCCAACCCUCUGUCCCUUCAUGUCCAUGUCCCCAUCACUCCUCUCCCUUUACCCUCUCUACUUUUGUUCAUUGUCCCUCUCUCUUUCCCCAACCCUCUGUCCCUUCAUGCCUGUGUCCUCAUCACUCCUGUCCUCCUGUCCAUUGUCCCUUCAUACCCCAUCACCUAUCCUCUGCCCUCUGGCCCCCAUCAACCUGUUCCCCCUUAUCUGUUAUACUUUUGUCCAUUGUCCCUCUCUCCUGCCCCUUGAUGCCCAUGUCCUCAUCAUUUCUGUCCCCUGGCACACAUCCACCUGUCCCUCUAUCCUUUAUACUUUUAUCCACUGUCCCUCUCCUUCCCCAAAUCUCUGUCCCUUCAUGUUCAUGUCCCAAUCACUUCUGUCCCUCCAUCAUCUCUACCUUUAUCCACUGUCCCUCUCUCCUUCCCCAACCCUUUGUACCUUCUUCCCCAUGUCCCUAUCACUUCUGUCCCCCUGUCCCUCUUUCCACUGUCCUCCUGUCCAUUGUCUCUUCAUACCCCCAUCACCCUUCACUCCUGUCCCCCGGCACCUACCCACCUCUUCCUGUAUCCCCUCUACUUUUAUCCAUUGUCCCUCUCUCUUUUCCCAACUUUCUGUCCCUUCAUGCCCAUGUCCCCAUCACUCCUGUCCUCCUGUCCAUUGUCCCUUCAUACCCCAUCACCUAUUCUCUGCCCUCUGCCCCAUCAACCUGUCCCCCUAUCCUUUAUACUUUCAUCCACUGUCCCCCUCUCCUUCCCCAAACCUCUCUCCCUUUCAUUUUUCCCCCUGUCCCCCUGUCCCCCUAUCCUUACAUCCUCUCACUCUCUCUUUUGUUUUCUCCUUCACCACCACACUUUUUGCUCUUUGUUCGCUCUUGUCUCUCUU